rnacentral:misc_RNA from 1 species
CCCAACUAUCCCUAUUAAUCAUUACGGUGAUCCUAGAAACCAACGAAAUAGAAUCAGUCCGUCCUAUUUCAUUAUUCCAUGCUAAUGUAUUCAGACGAUAGUCUGCUUUAAACACUCUAAUUUUUUCAAAGUAACAGUCCUGAUUUCCCAUCACACCAAAUGAAUGGCAUGAAAGUUCCUCAGAAGGAUGGAAGGGCGCCGCUGCACACGCUAACGAGCGGACAUUGGCACCCUCCCAGAAGUCCAACUACGAGCUUUUUAACUGCAACAACUUUAAUAUACGCUAUUGGAGCUGGAAUUACCGCGGCUGCUGGCACCAGACUUGCCCUCCAA